AAGUUGAGCGCUGAAGGUUGGUACUUGUACCAACUGGAUGAGCAGCGAACGGGUGAGUAACGCGUGGGGAAUCUGCCUUUGAGCGGGGGACAACAUUUGGAAACGAAUGCUAAUACCGCAUAAAAACUUUAAACACAAGUUUUAAGUUUGAAAGAUGCAAUUGCAUCACCCAAAGAUGAUCCCGCGUUGUAUUAGCUAGUUGGUGAGGUAAAGGCUCACCAAGGCGAUGAUACAUAGCCGACCUGAGAGGGUGAUCGGCCACAUUGGGACUGAGACACGGCCCAAACUCCUACGGGAGGCAGCAGUAGGGAAUCUUCGGCAAUGGACGAAAGUCUGACCGAGCAACGCCGCGUGAGUGAAGAAGGUUUUCGGAUCGUAAAACUCUGUUGGUAGAGAAGAACGUUGGUGAGAGUGGAAAGCUCAUCAAGUGACGGUAACUACCCAGAAAGGGACGGCUAACUACGUGCCAGCAGCCGCGGUAAUACGUAGGUCCCGAGCGUUGUCCGGAUUUAUUGGGCGUAAAGCGAGCGCAGGUGGUUUAUUAAGUCUGGUGUAAAAGGCAGUGGCUCAACCAUUGUAUGCAUUGGAAACUGGUAGACUUGAGUGCAGGAGAGGAGAGUGGAAUUCCAUGUGUAGCGGUGAAAAUGCGUAGAUAUAUGGAGGAACACCGGUGGCGAAAAGCGGCUCUCUGGCCUGUAACUGACACUGAGGCUCGAAAGCGUG
rnacentral:rRNA from 1 species